CCAUAUAACGCUUGGACAUGAGUUAGUCAAUCCUAAGAGACAUGGAAUCCUUGUAUCAAGGGUGCACUCUACAUGAACAUCGAAAGGGAAUCCAUUUCAACGUGGCCACGGUGAUUGACAAAAAAGUAAGGAAAUGUGAAGACAUUGUCGGGGGCCCUAGUAAGAUUUAUCUUUUAUUUUUAAAGGAUUUCCCACCCUGAAAUUGGUUCAACUGGAAAUAGGAUCCAAUAGUUUCAAUAACACUGCACAUAUUGCGGUGUUUGGUGCCCCCUCGACAUUCAUUGAAAAUGUGGAGGACCGAGUACCAUAUAAUGCUCUGAUACCAUAUGUAACGCUCCUCCUCGU
rnacentral:ncRNA from 1 species